rnacentral:rRNA from 1 species
UACGAAGGGGGCUAGCGUUGUUCGGAAUUACUGGGCGUAAAGCGUGCGCAGGCGGUUUUCCAAGUCAGUGGUGAAAGCCCGGAGCUCAACUCCGGAACUGCCAUUGAAACUGUGAAACUAGAGUACGAGAGAGGUGAGUGGAAUUCCCAGUGUAGAGGUGAAAUUCGUAGAUAUCGGGAGGAACACCUGUGGCGAAAGCGGCUUACUAGACGACAACUGACGCUGAGGCGCGAAAGCUAGGGGAGCAAACAGG